rnacentral:rRNA from 1 species
CCAGCAGCCGCGGUAAUUCCAGCUCCAAUAGCGUAUAUUAAAGUUGUUGCAGUUAAAAAGCUCGUAGUCGGACUUCUGGCCGUGUCGGACGGUCCGCCGCAAGGUGUGCACUGUUCGGGGCGGCCAUCCUCUUGAGGACCGCGUGUGCCCUUCACUGGGUGGGCGCGGGACUCAGGACCUUUACUUUGAAAAAAUUAGAGUGUUUAAAGCAGGCUUACGCUUGAAUACAUUAGCAUGGAAUAAUGGGAUAGGACUUUGGUUCUAUUUUGUUGGUUUCUAGGACCAAAGUAAUGAUGAAUAGGGAUAGUUGGGGGCAUUAGUAUUGAGCUGCCAGAGGUGAAAUUCUUGGAUUUGCUCAAGACUAACAACUGCGAAAGCAUUUGCCAAGGAUGUUUUCAUUGAUCAAGAACGAAAGU